rnacentral:rRNA from 1 species
UGCGAAGGGGGCUAGCGUUGCUCGGAAUCACUGGGCGUAAAGGGUGCGUAGGCGGGUCUUUAAGUCAGGGGUGAAAUCCUGGAGCUCAACUCCAGAACUGCCUUUGAUACUGAGGAUCUUGAGUACGGGAGAGGUGAGUGGAACUGCGAGUGUAGAGGUGAAAUUCGUAGAUAUUCGCAAGAACACCAGUGGCGAAGGCGGCUCACUGGCCCGUAACUGACGCUGAGGCACGAAAGCGUGGGGAGCAAACAGG